GUAAAAGAAAGCGAGAGAAAAAGAGUCCUAUCAAAACAUUUUAACAUUUCAACAUAGUAAUAAUAUUUUGAAACCUAUGAGCCUUUUUAAACAGUUCACUUUCAUAGAAAUCUUCAUCAUUAGGACAGUUAUGACAUGAACACUGGUCAGGUGUGGAAGCUUUUUUUUCAUUCUGCUGUCAAAGUGUUGAUUCAGACUGCAGGAGACAGUGUGUGAGAGCAGCUGCUUACAUAUGGAGACCUGAGCCGAAAUUCAUCACUACUCUGAAUCAUCACUUGGACUGUGCGCUUGGAUUUAUUUUAUUUUUAAUUUUUUUUUGCCUGAAACUAAAUAAGAAAUGGAGAGGAAUGGAAACUAUACUAUGAGGAUGAAAUAUGCCAGUGUUCAGCACAUGUGAAACAUUAAAAACUGAGUUACUUUGCUGAUUGGGCAUAAAAUCGAGGCUGUGUGUGGAUACGAUGCCCUGAGCUAGCUCAAUUGAUUCCAGAAGGGUGGACUGUGUUGAGAUGAGAUCCCUGUUUUUUACUAGUUUGAAUGAUGACCGAGCAGCUUCUGUGGAGGAAUGGCCCCAGUUGGAGCCGUUAUCUGUGGCAUUAUUCUGGCAGAGCGAUGGGCUGGACCCUGGAAGGGACAGCUGAGUCAUUUGGCAGAGACCAGCAAGCCAAUUGGUCAGGGAAGUUAUGAGGACAACACUAGAUUUGUGACCACCUUACAGCACUGUCUCACCCCAGGAAGCUCAGCCAGCGGGUCAGGGAUGACUUUCAAGACAAAAAUCAUUACCAGCUAAUAGCCCCUACCUAAUGUAUAGC
ensembl:lncRNA